UUUUGUCCUCUUUCGCUUUCCGUCUCAGUAGCGCUCUGCAGAGCAGAGUACAACUGGCACAAACUUGGACGAUGAACCCACAGGGUGUUGUGACUUUUUCUACUAGCGGGAACCAGAGGUGCCUGUCCUGAUGGCGGAGCGCUUCUAUGUCGGGGUGGACGUGGGGACCGGCAGCGUGAGGGCCGCUCUGGUGACCGGGGACGGCCGGCUGAGGUGCACUGCCGAGGAGCCCAUCACCAUCUGGGAGCCUCAGCCGGAGCACUUCGUCCAGUCCUCCACUGAAAUAUGGCACAAGUGCUGCGCAGUUGUCAAAAAAGUCACCGAAGGUGUGCAAAGUGAGCAGGUUCGGGGAAUAGGCUUUGAUGCUACCUGCUCUCUUGUGGUUUUGGACAAAAGCUUCCAACCUUUGCCGGUCAAUCAGGAUGGCGAUGCACAGAGGAACAUAGUGAUGUGGAUGGACCAUCGCGCCGCCGAGCAGGCGACACGAAUAACAAACAGCAGCCACGAGGUCCUGCGGAGGGUUGGAGGGGUCAUGUCACAAGAGAUGCAACCCCCUAAGCUCCUGUGGCUGAAGGAGAAUCUGAAGGAGAGCUGUUGGGACAAAGCCGCUCACUUCUUCGACCUGCCAGACUUUUUGUCUUGGAAGGCAACAGGUUUAUUAACAAGAUCUUUAUGCACCCUUGUGUGCAAGUGGACGUACUGUCCUCCAGACGGAUGGGAUGCCACUUUUUGGACUAGUAUCGGCCUGGAGGAACUUUUGGAAAACAACUUCUCCAAAAUAGGUAGUGAAACAAGUCCUCCUGGAAGUUCACUGGGCAAAGGCCUGACAAUGGAAGCUGCAGGGGAUUUGGGUUUGAACCCUGGAACUGCAGUCGGUGCUUCUCUCAUUGAUGCGCACGCCGGAGGCCUAGGUGUGAUUGGUGCGGACGUGAAGGGGUUCAGUUUGCCCUGCGAGCAUCGCUCAAUCUCCUCACGCAUGGCAAUGAUCUGUGGGACGUCGACUUGUCACAUGGCGAUCAGCGAGACGCCGCGGUUUGUGCCAGGAGUGUGGGGACCCUACCUGUCUGCCAUGGUGCCAGGUCUGUGGCUCAACGAAGGGGGGCAGAGCGCCACUGGAAGGCUGAUCGACCACGUGGUGAAGGGUCACGCUGGGUUCACACAGCUGGAGGCGCAGGUUCAGCAAAGCGUUCCCUUCACUGGAGGGAACAUCUACUCGUACCUGAACAGCCACUUGGGUCAGAUGACCAAGUCUGGGUCGCCGGUGGAUCUGCUGACCUCUAGUCUUCACGUGUGGCCAGAUUUUCAUGGCAACAGGUCGCCGCUCGCUGACCCAACCUUGAAAGGCAUGGUGACAGGACUGUCCCUCUCCCAAACCUUGGAUGACCUGGCGCUGCUUUACUUAGCCACCAUUCAAGCCCUCGCUCUUGGCACGCUUCACAUUCUAGACGCCAUGAAGAAAGCAGGACAUGACAUCAGCGCCCUCUUCCUUUGCGGGGGCUUGAGUAAAAACGUCCUGUUUGUGCAGACACACGCCAAUGCCACAGGUGCGCCAAUCAGAGGCAGUCUUCCAGGGUUUUUCCACUAAGGGCUGCCUGUGGUGUUGCCAGACCAGACCGAGGCGGUUCUGGUGGGAGCAGCAGUCUUGGGAGCAUGUGCGUCACGUGACUACAGCACCCUACAGGAGGCCAUGGAGAAAAUGGCUAAAGUAGGAAAAGUGGUUCAACCUGAGCGGGAGCUUCAGAGUUUCUACGAACGAAAGUACAAAGUGUUUCUGCGUCUGGUCUCCCACCAGAGGGAGUACCAGGCCCUUAUGGAGCAGAGGUGAGAGCCUACACAACGCUCUGGAAUCCAAAACUGAUGUCUUUAAACAACGUAUUUUCCGGUAGUCACCCCGGAAGUGACUUUCCGCUGAAGUCCUCUUCAAAAACUGUGACCACAAUAAACAUUUUGGAUUGAC